rnacentral:rRNA from 1 species
CCUACGGGGGGCUGCAGUAAGGAAUAUUGGUCAAUGGACGAAAGUCUGAACCAGCCAUGCCGCGUGGAGGAUGAAGGUCCUCUGGAUUGUAAACUUCUUUUAUAUGGGACGAAAAAAGGCCUUUCCAGGUCGUCUGACGGUACCAUAUGAAUAAGCACCGGCUAACUCCGUGCCAGCAGCCGCGGUAAUACGGAGGGUGCAAGCGUCACUCGGAUUCACUGAGGUUAAAGGGUGCUGGGAAGUGAGUGUUGAAAUCCCCGAGCUUAACUUGGGAACUGCCAUUGAUACUAUCAGUCUUGAAUACCGUGGAGGUCAGCGGAAUAUGUCAUGUAGCGGUGAAAUGCUUAGAUAUGACAUAGAACACCAAUUGCGAAGGCAGCUGGCUACACGAGUAUUGACACUGAGGCACGAAAGCGUGGGGAUCAAACAGGAUUAGAUACCCUAGUAGUC